rnacentral:rRNA from 1 species
UACGUAGGGUGCGAGCGUUAAUCGGAAUUACUGGGCGUAAAGCGUGCGCAGGCGGUGAUGUAAGACAGAUGUGAAAUCCCCGGGCUCAACCUGGGAACUGCAUUCGAGACUGCAUUGCUAGAGUAUGGGAGAGGGAAGUGGAAUUUCAGGUGUAGCGGUGAAAUGCGUAGAGAUCGGGAGGAAGGCCGGUGGCGAAGGCGGCGCUCUGGAACGUACCUGACGCUGAGACACGAAAGCGUGGGGAGCAAACAGG